rnacentral:rRNA from 1 species
GAUGAACGCUGGCGGCGUGCCUAAUACAUGCAAGUCGAGCGAACUGAUUAGAAGCUUGCUUCUAUGACGUUAGCGGCGGACGGGUGAGUAACACGUGGGCAACCUGCCUGUAAGACUGGGAUAACUUCGGGAAACCGAAGCUAAUACCGGAUAGGAUCUUCUCCUUCAUGGGAGAUGAUUGAAAGAUGGUUUCGGCUAUCACUUACAGAUGGGCCCGCGGUGCAUUAGCUAGUUGGUGAGGUAACGGCUCACCAAGGCAACGAUGCAUAGCCGACCUGGGAGGGGAGUCGGCCACACUGGGACUGAGACACGGCCCAGACUCCUACGGGAGGCAGCAGGAGGGAAUCUUCCGCAAUGGACGAAAGUCUGACGGAGCAACGCCGCGUGAGUGAUGAAGGCUUUCGGGUCGUAAAACUCUGUUGUUAGGGAAGAACAAGUACUAGAGUAACUGCUUGUACCUUGACGGUACCUAACCAGAAAGCCACGGCUAACUACGUGCCAGCCGCCGCCGUAAGAC